GUAUAUUUGCCUCGAUUUGGUGUUCCGCAUUUUAAUAAUCGGAAUGAAAAGGGAAUCCGGUGCGAUACCGGAGCUGUACCCGCAGCUGUAAGCCUUAAAAAGCUUUUUCAAACUUCGCCACUAUCCAAAAUUUGGAUGGGAAGGCACGAAAAAGUAAGGUGAGCCAGAAGACCUGCCAAAUAAAUAGUUCGGGA
rnacentral:ncRNA from 2 species